rnacentral:rRNA from 1 species
UAUUGCACAAUGGGGGAAACCCUGAUGCAGCCAUGCCGCGUGUGUGAAGAAGGCCUUCGGGUUGUAAAGCACUUUCAGUAGGGAGGAAAGGGUGUAGUUUAAUACGCUAUAUCUGUGACGUUACCUACAGAAGAAGGACCGGCUAACUCCGUGCCAGCAGCCGCGGUAAUACGGAGGGUCCGAGCGUUAAUCGGAAUUACUGGGCGUAAAGCGUGCGCAGGCGGUUUGUUAAGCGAGAUGUGAAAGCCCUGGGCUCAACCUAGGAAUAGCAUUUCGAACUGGCGAACUAGAGUCUUGUAGAGGGGGGUAGAAUUCCAGGUGUAGCGGUGAAAUGCGUAGAGAUCUGGAGGAAUACCGGUGGCGAAGGCGGCCCCCUGGACAAAGACUGACGCUCAUGCACGAAAGCGUGGGGAGCAAACAGGAUUAGAUACCCUGGUAGUCCACGCCGUAAACGAUGUCUACUCGGAGUUUGGUGUCUUGAACACUGGGCUCUCAAGCUAACGCAUUAAGUAGACCGCCUGGGGAGUACGGCCGCAAGGUUAAAACUCAAAUGAAUUGACGGGGGCCGGCACAAGAA